UCGAGCUGAGAGAUUUACUAUCUAGGUAAGACAGAAAAUAGGACCUAGUAGACAAUUUCACAAACAAACAAUGUUUGUAGCUACUAUUGCAACGCUCAUUAUAAGUCCAAAAGUGCACUCGUCUACACGGUAUUGGCACUGGGGAAAUUUUCCUCUUUAUUAAUAACAAAUCUUCGAGUUAUAGGGCUGGCUCGACGCUACUGAAUAUCUUUAAGCUUUGAUAUGAUGGAGUCUAUAAUUAUUCUACAGGGUAUUGGCACAUUUAUUGAAUAGUACGAGUAAAUAUGCCUAUCACUGUCCUAUACCAAACGAAAAUACCGAAAAUUUAAAUUAUAGAAGAAGGUCAAGGAAACUACUGUCAUCUUACGACCAUUCGCCUACGACGACAUUCUUAGAAAAAGAAGAGAUAAACCAUCGAUCCUACGCUAGAACCAGCACAGUCAUACCACAACUGCGUCGAUACGCUGGCGCCGUCUUACCUUCCAAGUACAUCCAUGAGGGCUGGUGCCGCCGCAACACACCAGGAAACCAUCAAACGCCGUAAAUAUUCAUCGCUUAGAAAUGAAUAUAUGUUUGCGGCGUUUUCAGUCAAGACUCUGGGCCCGUGGAGCCCCGAGGCUAUGAGUCUUUUUAAAGAGAUAUCACGCCGGCUGGUGGAAACUUUAGGCGAUUAGAAGAUUGCCCUAUACUUUUGUCAACGCAUUUCGAUAGCUAUUAAGCGUGGAAAUGCAGCAAGUCUCCUAGCUACCCUACCAGUUGGCAAUGACCUAAAUUUUUUUAUAUUUAAAUAAUAUUUUAAGGUCUUGUUAGUAUAAAGUUACUUUAAAUAUUUUAUAGUAAUUAUAAAUAAUUAAUUUCGCCGCGACUGGCGGCGGCGCUUUUUUAUUGUGAUCGAUAACAUUGUCAAGGCUAGACAAUGCUAGACAAGCCAGACACAGCGCGAUCUAGUUGGAUGGGUGACUGGUCACCAAAACAUUCGUGCACAUGCACUCCUAAUUUGGUAAAACACUAUUUAUUUAUUCAAUUUUAUUAUUUACAAGUUGCUGCAAAUUUGAAGAGAAAUUUAGGUACUUCUCUCCGAAUUUGCAGCAACUUGUAAAAUAGAUAUUUAUACUAUCACCGCAAUAAGAA